GAAAAAAAGGGGAACUCAUCUUGAAGUGGCAUCUUUAAAGAGACUCUCAAGGUAGGUCAGAUAGAAUGAAACUGAAAAGCUAAAAAUGUGUAUUGGAUAUCUGAAGUGUAAUCAUAGACAAAUAAAAAUGAGGUUGAAUGGUAGGAUGGAUGGAUGGAUGGAUGGAUGGAUGGAUGGAUGGAUGGAUGGAUGACAAAUGGAAAACUUCUUAGUCGAUGGGGGAAUUUUAGAGUUGAGAUCUUCAAGGUAGAGAAUUUGGAAGGUGAGUACAGGAGUCAUUGAGUAAUCCAGAAUGGAAGUAGAAGUUUUAACAUAUUCAUUGGUUAAGGGAGGACAGGGUUAAUUUUAAGAAAUGUAAUGCUGAGAAUGUACCAUGAAGAUGCUUACACACACAGAAGAAGAAUGAAGUCCCCAAGAAAUGCAGAUAUGUUGCAGAAAUUUCUCAAUUAUAUUAUUUGGCUAAACAACACUGAAAAUAGUCCACAGAUCUUUAUUUAGCCUGAUAACUUCUUAGCCGAGUUAAAGAUACCAAGAGGACCAGAAGCUGAUGCCAAGAAUCCAUGGAAUGAUGUCCACAGAGCAUAAUGGCACAAUUGUCUUAUAGAACAAGAUUGAAAAGAGCUGGAGGACGGGAAAGGGUGUGGCGUCUAUAAAAAUGAAAAACGUUAUUCAUGGAUUCAAAUUUAUGCCUAAAAUGAAUUAGAUGCAAUAUUUCAUUCUCAGAUUUCAGGCAAAAGUUAGAAACUAGUUAAAUAGUGACAGGAUUUUCAGAGAAAUCUGGCAAAAUCUCUGGGAUUUUUCUUCUCAUCCACCUCAAGUAUUCUUAGCAGGAGUCCUUUAUUCUUCUCUUGGAGGUGAAAGAAAAAACACACUUGUUAUCAAAGCAACAAAUCUGCAAAAUCCCCUUCCAUUGUCCUUUUUAGGACAUCAUGAGGCUAGUCUUCUCAUUCCCCUGAAAACCUGUCACUUCCCACACUCAUCUGGAAGGCCUUGUUGGACUCUAUUACCAUGAAACACAUACCAUGGAUAACAAGAGAAAACAAACACCUGUCCAAAUGACAGUCUACAGCGUGGGUUUUGUCUUCUCAUCAGAUGGACUCCAUGGUCAUCGUGCUCCCCCAGCUACUAUUAAAUCUCUCGUUGUAGAUUUGUGAGCAUCACAGGCCAGCAAGUGGCUCUAGCAUUAACGUAAGAAUUGUGGUUACAUAGGGGUUGCCCAGUGGCCAUUCCAAGGACUAUGAUUCCCUGAGCUCUGAGGGAAGAUGGAUUUGAUGAAGAUCUCCAAUUUAUACUCUGUCUCCACAUAAUGUCUGGCUGUGGGUCUCUGCAUCUGUUUCCAUCAGCUGCUGGAGGAAGUCUCUCUGAUGAUGACUGGAUAAAGUACUGAUGAGUACGGCAGAAUAUCAUUAGGAAGCAUUGUAUUGAUUUUUCUUAAACCAAUCAUGUUUUGUUUUACACAGGACUCUGGACUAUCUAGCCCCAGCUUCUCGGUUACCUAAGCAGUGUUGAGUAUGGGUUCCUUCUCAUUGGAUGAGUCUUAAGUCAAGUCAGCUUUUGGUUGGCUACUCAUAUAAGUUCCACUCUACCAUUGCCCUAACAUAUUUUGCAGGAGGAUAGAGCAAAGGUUUUGUGGCUGGAUUGGUUCCCAUGUUUCUCUUCUGGUAGCCUUCAGUGUACCUUCCCACACCAAAGAGACUAGAGACAUAGGAGUGAAGGCUCCAUGUAGGCACCAGCUCAACUUCUCCAUGUUCAAUGAGUUGUGUGGAUGUUGCCCUUGGCAACAGAGCAUCUGUAUCAAUUUUCAAAGAGCAAACCUUUGUUUUAGCAUCAGCCUGAUAUUUUAGGGAUUUCCAUGGGACUCCCUUGGCCAAAACUCAAUUGAAUGCAAAUCAGUCUCUCCCCUGGAAUA
rnacentral:lncRNA from 1 species